CUCCUCAGACCUGGUUUCCAUUUUUAAGGGAUAUCUGAAUGUUCAUGUUUAGAAAUUUAUUAGAUUUGCUCUUUUCAUUUCUAUUGACCAUAUAUUCAAAUUUUAUUUUAAUGGGGAACAUAUAAAUUACCAGGCACCUCCCAAAUUAAAUUAAAUUUUUCAUGUUUGAAUGACCUAUUUUUGUAACACAGUUGACAUUUCUAUAGGAACCAACUACUAUAAACCAAAUUAUUUAAUGAACAAUUUUUGUGGUUAUCUAAAUUUUGGAGGGAAUUCAUUUAACAGCUGAUAAUUCUCUUUUGAAAUAUUCACGAUUAAUAUUUGGCUUAUUAGUUUUUGCUCGAAAUCUUGUACAUGAAUUGUUUGGAAAAUGAGUUGGUUCACAGUAUGCUCAAUCCUCUUCUAGUCUUGGCUACCCCCUGUAGCAGUCUCAUUAAUCCUUUGUCCCCCACCCCAGCUGAGUCACAGCCAGAGUCUUUAAAAUUGGUAUUGCUAUUCCUUCACCAACCAACAGAUACUAAAGAGUAAGAGCAAAGACUAGUUGGGUUUGAAGAGAAACCAGAGUUUUUUUUACAGAGUAAUUGUUCAUUAAAUGACUCAGCAUAUGUAAAAAAGGAUGAUUUGGAUUAUUAACUUCAAUGAGACAGCAACUUCCCAACAACAAAAUAUGACUGACACCUUAUAAGGUUAACAUACAGUCUUCAGCUAUAGAAUGUUGUUCUAGCAUACACAUAUGGAGAUGUGAUAUGAUUGCCAGUAAGACAAAUUACCUCUUCAUCAAGACCGAAUGACAAAGAUAUGUACAAAAACAGACUGAUGUAGGGUCUUUCACAAUUCAGACAUGAUCUAAUAUUUCAUUUUUUAAACACAUAUACAUUUAAACAUUAGAUGUGGUAUGAUCGCCUUUGGACAUGUAUAUAUGUUGCUGGUCUUAAAUAUCCUCCCAUCUAGAGGAAGCUUGCAUUGUCCUUUUACUUCACAUUCCCCAAUUUAGGCAUUUCUUUUUUCUCAAAAUUCAAAAAAAAAAAUUUUUUUUUUUUUUUAUUGAUUUUUAUUUAUAUAAAUAUAAUUCAAAGUUUGUUGACAUUAUUGAUUCCUUCUGUAAUUCCUACAUAACUAGUUAUAAGGAUACAUCCGAUACAGGUAGGACUGGUUCAUAUCUUGACCUUAGCCUAGGGGUUGUUAGUGAGGUCAGUUGGGAACUAUAGAAAAAUAAAACAAAGGAGACUUCCUUUUUCUUAUUGUGAACCUUCUAUUAUUAUGUAGCAACAAUCCAGGUACACUUGUAUAUAUGGAUUUUAUAUCUCCCUGUUGAUUAUAAUCCACUCUUUGCAUGUGCUGUAGGUCAAUUGAUAAAUGGUAGUUGCUUUAAAGAAUAUCAUGGAACCAAAGGUUCUUAAUGGUAACGUGGUCAGUCAAAUUUUCUUUGGAUGAUUUACUGAUAUUAACUGUAAACUAAAAUUCUAAGAAUGUAUUCAAUCCUAAUUCUUGCAUGUAAGAAAUACAAAUUAUUGUUCUGAAUAUUAAGUGUUUGAGAAAUUCAUUUUGAAUACUAUUUGUUUUUAAUGGAUUAGUGGGCAAUGAUAUUUAUUUAAUGCAAUUUUUAAAUGAAUUUACAAGGACACAAUUUUUGGGAUAUCUGUCAUACUUACGUAAAUCAAAUUUAUGGCUUUCAGUUUGGAAUGAUUAAAAAUCUGAGAUAUUGAAAACUAUUUCAAUCUUUGAAAGACAGAUGAAUGAAAAUAAGUUCUUAUGAAAAACUGAAAAUUGUGUAUCCAAAUAUUCCAUGCUGAAAAUCUGAGUGGUACAAUGAAAUAAAACAAUUAGAAAAGUGAUUGAAUUAAUAAACCAUGUUGCUGUCCAUCAGAUUGGCUUUUUAUGAAUAUUAUGCCGACAGGCGAGACAUAUUUAGCCUGCCAUGAAAGUUGCCAAAACUAAAUAUAGUUGUCCUAGGUUACAUUAUUCGCUGAACUGCCAACAGUUUUGCAACUGUCCCAAGUCAGGAGCCACAGGCUUUUGUAAGUCUUGUAUGUUUUAUAAUUUCAGUUCAUUUGUAUGUUUAAGAUUCAGUGUGAUGUCCAUUUUUACUGUACAUAUUUUUGUAAAGGGGCUAGAUGAAGUAUGUUUCCUGGUACAAGAUUUUCUUGCUGUGUUGGAGACCAAUUGGUGGCAUUUAGCUGUUUUUUUAUGCCUCAUCUAAGAUAGUACAUGUUCUGGUCUGUGGGUCUGUUUGUUCGUCCGACUGUCUAUCCAACUUCAGGUUAAAACUUUUGGUCAAAAGGUAGAUUUUGAUGAAGUUGAAGUCCAAUCAACUUGAAACUUAGUACACAUGUUCUCUAUGAUAUGAUCUUUCUAAUUCUAAUGCCAAAUUAAGAGUUUUAACCCAAAUAUCAUGGUCCACUGAACAAAGAAAAUGAUAGUGCAAGUGGGGCAUCAGUGUAUUAUGGACACAUUCUUGUUUACUCUUUGGUCUCUCUUUCCUCAUUUCCAUUCUCUAUUUUAUUAAUGGUCAGUCUGUGGUUUAAAAGUUUUAUGAAACUUGGUCAGAUCCCUUAUAAUCAAAAGAUAGCACAUGGAGCAAAUUAUUUUGUUUCCAAGACUUAAUUGAUAAAUGUAAUAAAUAAUGUCAUCCUCUGUCGUUGUUAACUUUUAAACAUAUCUUCUCCUCUGAGACUACUGGGCCAAAUUUAACCGAACUUGGCCACAAUCAUCAUUGGGGUAUCUAGUUUAAAAAAUGUGUCCGAUGACUCGGCCAACCAAAAAUUAUGGCCACCAUGGCUAAAAAUAGAACAUAGGAGUAAAAUGCAGAUUUUGGCUUAUAUCUUGUUUUCUGAGAAGUUUAUUCACAUCUUAUAGAGAAUCAUAUUGAUUAAGAAAUUAAAGCAUAUUACAAACACCCUUGGGGAGAGGGACUUACAUUUAAGAUGUCACUUUUAAAUUGUGGGGAGGCGGGUGGUUUGUGAAUUUGCUGAAUUUUUAGGAUUUUUUCAAUGGCAUAUCAUUCCCACAAAACAGUGCUGAUAUUGGUAUUAUAGCUUGUAAACAUAUACAUGUAUUGAUUUAUUUGGACCAUCUUAAAGCCUAAAAUUUUAAACCGCAUAUCAAUUUUAAUUUAUAUUGUUAAAAUUCAGCUUCUAGACCAUAAAUGCUUAUUUCCUCCAUUUUUGAUACUUGUAAUUAUAAUACAAUUUUUAUAAUCGGGUGUCAUCCUUUCAAAUUUGGAAAUAAAGAGAUUUCCCUCUGAGGAAAAUUCUUCAGAGGGAGAUUGACUGUGGACCUAUUAUUUCAGAUAAUGACCUCCCACUGAGGAAAAUUCUUCAGGGGGGAGGAGAUUCUGGCUUUAGACCCUAUUCCUGAUAAAAAAAAAUAAUUAUGAUGUGCAAAUUUUCUAUGAAUAAACAGUUACAUAUGUUAAAGACCUAUCUUACCAAUGUUGUUUAUUGCUUUGUCCAUACAAAAUAUAAUUAAGCUCUUUUUUUUAAACUAUGGGGUGUUCAGUAACCAUUAGUAACAAUUAUGGCAAAGAAAACAAUCUUUAUGUGCCUAUAUUUGAUUCAGAAUUAUGUACCUUGUUUACUUAUUCUCUUUCUACAAUAGUCCCACAUUACCAUCCAUGUGCCACCCCAAGGGUGACAGGGGUUUAUAUGCCAUCCAUGUGCCACCCCAAGGGUGACUGGGGUAUAGAUGCCAUCAAUGUGCCACCCCAAAGGUGACAGGGGUAUAUAUGCCAUCCAUGUGCCACCCCAAAGGUGACUGGGAUAAAUAUGCCAUCCAUGUGCCACCUCAAGGGUGACGGGGGGUAUAUAUAUGCCAUCCAUGUGCCACCCUAAGGGUGACUGGGGUAUAGAUGCCAUCAAUGUGCCACCCCAAGGGUGACAGGGGUAUAUAUAUGCCAUCCAUGUGCCACCCCGAGGGUGACGGGGAUAUAGAUGCCAUCCAUGUGCCACCCCAAGGGUGAUUGGGAUAUAGAAAUAUGGUCACUUGGUUGUCAAUUGAACGGCAGUAAAACCCUGCUUUCCUGAUUGCAUAGGUGAAUGUGGGGCUAGAUAUAUAAAAUGAUUGCCAUCCAUGUGCCACCCCAAGGGUGAGUGGGAUAUAGAAAUAUAGUCACUAGGUCUAUUGCCAUCCAUGUACCACCCCUAGGGUGACUGGGAUAUAGAUGCCAUGCAUGUGCCACCCCAAGGGUGACUGGGGUAUAGAAAUAUGGUCACUUGGUCGUCAAUCGACAAGCAGUAAAACCCUGCUUUCCUGCUUGCCUAGGUGAAUGCGGGGCUAGAUAUAUAAAAUGAUUGCCACCCAUGUGCCACCCCAAGGGUGAGUGGGAUAUAGAAAUAUGGUCACUAGGUCUACUGCCGUCAAAUUGCCACCCCAAGGGUGACUGGGGUAUAGAAAUAUGGUCACUUGGUCAUCAAUCGACUGGCAGUAAAACCCUGCUAUCCUGCUAGCCUAGGUUAAUGUGGGUUUAGAUAUAUAAAACGAGAAGAUGUGGUAGGACCAUAGGAUAUAUAUUGCCAAUGAGACAACAACCCAUCAAAGAUGUUAUAUAAAAAGGUUCCAGCUUAGCAAACAGUGUCAUAAUAGGGGGUUUGAAUGGGCUUUAAAGAAUAGAGAAUAAAUAAUCAUUAGCAUUAAAGGGCCCUUUAAAUAAAGAGGAGAGGAAAAAAGCAAAAUAGAUAAAGACUAGAGAAUAAUCAUUAGCAUUAAAUGGCCCUUUAAAUAAAGAGGAGAGGAAAAAAGCAAAAUAGAUAAAGACUAGAGAAUAAUCAUUAGCAUUAAAGGGCCCUUUAAAUAAUGAGGAGAGGAAAAAAGCAAAAUAGAUAAAGACUAGAGAAUAAAUAAUUGGGUGGAAAAAGGACCUACAAAAUUAAAGACCACCAUCCAGACCCUCAUAAUAAGAUUAAUGCAUGGUUAGGGUUAAUUGUCUUUAGUAUAAUAUUUGAUGGCAUCUAAGUAAUUAUUUGAACAAAAAUUCUCACUGUAUGCAAGUUAUCUUGACUACGUAGAUUUAUGAUUAUAUAUAUUAGCCAUUAUUAGUGAAACACUGGACCUUGUAUGUUCCCCUCACAAUUGAAUAAAAUAAUUGGAAAAUCAGGAAAAAAUUCCCAGUAAUAAGUAAACUUAUUAAAUGCUUAACUUUCAAUAAAUUAUUUGUCAAAUUGAAUCUGAUUUAAAGUGAAGGACAUAUAACACAUUAAGUGUUUUAUAAAUUGUUGCUGUCAUGUGGCAUCAAAAUUUUGUGAACUUCUUACUCAUAAUCUACAAAAGCUUAAAAAUACAAGAAUUAAGUCAGAAAUAAGAACUUCCCUCGGGCCAGGAAUAAUACUUAAACAGAAAAAGUCUUUAGUUUUCCUUUCAUAAUCUAAAGGACUAUGGGUAAUCUUAUUGUUCAUAUAACAAAAUGAGAAUAAUAUUGUAACGACAUUGGUUGAAUUUCAAUUGUUUUGUAGGUUUUAAACCAAUCACAAUGUUUUGGUGUACAGCUUUGAAACUAUUACCAAGAAUGCCUUUGAUUCUAAAACAGCGAAUGGAUUAAAUUUUUUUAUAAGAACUAAACUUAAACAAUAAAAGUCUUUAUUGGAUUUAUUUAGUAAAGUACAUGUGUUGUCUUCCAUGAAGAAACUUUUUUAAAAAAAAUGUUGUAUUUUAAUUCAAAUUAUGUUUAAUUGGUGCUUUUGAAAUAUGAGAGCAAAGAAUGGGGAAAAUAUGUUCUUUAAUUAUGGAAAUACAUCAUAUUAGAUUUUUUUUUGAAUCAGACUAAGGUGAAUAUAUCUUAUUCAAGGAAAUUCCCUGUAUAUAUUAUAUACAUGUAUAACCAAGAAAGAGCAAUUUGUAGCUAACUUUGAAGAGCUGUUAUGUGUCAUGUGUGCAAUGGUUUAUGUUAUACAUUUGUACCUGUAUUGUGCAGUAUUAUUUUAUUUAAGGUUAAAUUAUAUAACAAUUAAUGUAUUAUAUUUUUUCAAUUUAAGGGUGGUUCAAAAUAUAAAGUGUCUUCUAGAAAUCUAAAAUGUGUUGUUCGAAUUAACAUAAUUUUGAAAAUUUUGGUUGUUUAAAAAAACAAAAAGCUGAAAACUUGACAAAAAACAAUGCUAUUUUUCAAGUUUAAUGAUUUUAACAUUAGUCAUUUAAGAGUUAUAGGACUUGAAUUGUCAAACCAAAUUGCAUGAACUUUUUAAAGUCUUGUAAAGUAUAGAAUUCAACUAACAUUUUGAGUUUGUCAAUUUAAAUGUUUAUCAUUCCACCAGAGUAAUCAGACUCCUAUGAUUUUGAAGUAUCAUCAAACAAUUUUGCAUGGAGAUGGGAAAACAUGCAUCCUAGAUACAUUUGUACAAUCUUAAAGUUCCAUGUGUUCAAUAGACUAUUUUCAUAUUACCGAUAUUGACUCCGGAUUAUAAUUUGUCGACUGGUUACCUUGGACAUCAUGGUACCAAGUCAGGUAAGAGCAAGCUAAAGAAGCAAAACCAAGCUUUCAAUCGGUACAAUUUUGGGGGAAUAUUUCCUGCUUAACAUUUUUAUUUCACUACAAAAUCAUUGGAAAACAGUAAACUUUCCCCUCAAAUUACACUGAUUAUAUGUUUGAUUUUAAUUAUUUUGGUUGCUCUUACUUGACCGAGUACCAUGAUGUCCAAGGUAACCAGUCGACAAAUUAUAUAAUCCGGAGUCAAAAGUCGGUAAUAUGAAAAUAGUCUAUUGCCUCAUAUCACUAAAGCAAACUACAGUUCCUAAGCUGAUCUGAUAUUUUCCACUUUGAACAUUUUUAAAAGUCAAGGAUAUUUCAAUGAUAUGUUACAUUGCAAGGUCGCAGGUUAGAUUUGACCAUGUUAGAAUCACUUUAAGUAAUGACUACAUAUUUUUUGUUGUCUUUAAUUUUUAUUGAGAUAACUGGGGACAAAUGAAGUAAUGGCAGAAUUGUAAUUAUCAGUUUGUAAAUGAAAGUGCAUGUAAAUAAGUAAAUACUAUUAUGUAAAUAUCUAUGAUUGCACAUGUCUAUGAUUUAUUUGUACAAGUGCUUGAAUGUGCCUGAAUAAAACUAUACUAUAUAUACUAGACUAUACUUGUGUCAUGUGUGCAUAUGUAAGUUUUUUAUUAUGCCGUACUCUAUUAUAAAAUUUGGGUAAAGAUUGUAUAAAAUCAAAAUCUUUCUUUUGGUACUGGCUCGAUAGCUAUAUCUUCCAAGCUUAAACAUCUUCACCUUCGAGAGUUCAAACAACACAGUGCAUUGAGGUGAAGAUUCAUUAGAUCAUAUAUAUCCAUGCCCAAUUCUUCAGAUAUUAAAGUUAAAACAUGAUGUGUGUGUGUGCAUGUAUUACCGUACUUUCCAUGUUAACUAUUUCUCCAAAACAAUUACAUAAAUUGUGCAUGGUGUAUAUAAAUCUAUCUUUUCUAAAAAAAAAGUUCACAAGUUCAACAGCAAGAUUGAACAAUGGGAGAUAACUCCAUUGAUUUAAGCUCAAAAUUGAAAAUUGAAAGCAGUCUUUACCCUUCGGUGCUGACAGGCACUUUGUUUUUUUGUUUGUAUAGUGUCUGUGUUCAUAUAUAAUCAUGUUUUAUAGUUAACUGUAAAUAGAUCAUAUAUAUCCAUGCCAAGAUUCUUCAGACAUUAAAGUUAAAACAUGAUGUGUGUGGAUGCAUGUAUAACCAUACUUUCCAUGUAGAUUAUUUUUAUCAACAACAAAAUCAACAUAAAUUGUGCAUGGUGUAUAUGAAUCUAUCUUUUCUUAACAAACAAAAAUUCACAAGUUCAACAACAACAUUGGAUAAUGGGAGAUAACUCUAAUAAUUGAAAUUGAAAUUGAAAAUUGAAAGCAGUCUUUACCUUUCAGUGCUCACAAGCACUUUGUUUGUUUGUAAAGUCUGUGUAUUCAUUUAUAUAUAUAUAUAUAUAUACUUAUGUUUUAUAGUCUGUUGUAAAUAGAUCAUAUAUAUCCAUGCCAAUAUUCUUCAGACAUUAAAGUUAAAACAUGAUGUGUGUGGGUGCAUGUAUUACCAUACUUUCCAUGUACUAGUAGAUUAUUUCAUGAAAAAAACCAACAUAAAUUGUGCAUGGUGUAUAUAAAUCUAUCUAAAAAAAAAGUCCAACAAUAAUAUUGGAUAAUGGGAGGUAACUCCAAUAAUUUAAACUCAAAUU